rnacentral:misc_RNA from 1 species
UCCGGUUUGACACCGGCAGUCUCGCUAGAGUCCUCAGCAUUACCUGUUAGCAACUAGCGACAAGGGUUGCGCUCGUUAAGGGACUUAACCCGACACUUCACAGCACGAGCUGACGACAGCCAUGCAGCACCUGUGCACGUUCCACCCUUGCGGGCGUGGCUCCCCUUUCAGGGAGUUAAUCCGUGCAUGUCAAACCCGGGUAAGGUUCUUCGCGUUGCUUCGAAUUAAGCAACAUGCUCCACCGCUUGUGUGAGCCCCCGUCAAUUCCUUUGAGUUUUAGCCUUGCGACCGUACUCCCCAGGCGGCGCACUUAGCAAUUUCUCUGCGACCAGAACGACGUCAGAGCCGCUCCGGUCUAGUGCGCAUCGUUUAGGGCGUGGACUAC